AGUGUUGGGUGCAGACCGCGGUGGUGCAGCUUUCUUUUAGAAGUUCAGUCUCAGUUGUCUUUUGCAAGCCAUGAAGAGUGACUUUUAUCUGCGCUACUACGUGGGGCACAAGGGCAAGUUCAGCCACGAGUUUCUGGAGUUUGAGUUCUGACCGGACGGGAAAUUAAGAUAAGCCAACACAGCAAUUACAAGAAUGAUGUCAUGAUCAGAAAAGAGGCUUAUGUACAUAAAAGUAUGAUGGAGGAACUGAAGAGUAUAAUUGAUGACAGUGAAAUUACCAAAGAGGAUGAUGCGUUAUGGCCUCCUCCCAACCGAGAGGGCCGGCAGGAGCUUGAAAUCAUUAUUGGAGAUGAACACAUUUCUUUUACAACAUCAAAAAUUGGUUCCCUUAUUGAUGUCAGUCAAUCCAAGGAUCCAGAAGGCUUAUGAGUAUUUUAUUAUCCUGUCCAGGACCCUGAAGUGUUUGGUCUUCAGUCUUACUGGAUUACACUUCAAGAUUAAACCAAUCUAAACUGAAUAUUGAUGUGGACAUGGGGGGGUGGGAGUAGUUUUUAAUUACCAUUAUCAAGAACAUUUUGUGUCAGGGCAGUAUAUUUUUAUAAACUAUAAAUGAUUAUCUUUAAUAAAUAUGUGAUAAAAU